rnacentral:rRNA from 1 species
UUUCCGGUUGAUCCCGCCGGACCUGACUGCUAUCGGAUUGAUACUAAGCCAUGCGAGUCUUUGUAGUAAUACAAGGCAGACGGCUCAGUAACACGUAGUCAACCUACCCUAUGGACAAGAAUAAUCUCGGGAAACUGGGCAUAAUUCUUGAUAGAUCAUAAUGCCUGGAAUGGUUUAUGGUUAAAAUGAUUCGUCGCCAUAGGAUGGGACUGCGGCCUAUCAGCUUGUUGGUGAGGUAAUGGCCCACCAAGGCGAUUACAGGUACGGGCUCUGAGAGGAGAAGCCCGGAGAUGGGUACUGAGACACGGACCCAGGCCCUAUGGGGCGCAGCAGGCGAGAAAACUUUGCAAUGUGCGAAAGCACGACAAGGUUAAUCCGAGUGAUUUCUGCUAAAGAAAUCUUUUGCCAGUCAUAAAACCACUGGUGAAUAAGGGGUGGGCAAGUUCUGGUGUCAGCCGCCGCGGUAAAACCAGCACCUCAAGUGGUCAGGAUGAUUAUUGGGCCUAAAGCAUCCGUAGCCGGCUUUGUAAGUUUUCGGUUAAAUCCAUGUGCUCAACGCAUGGGCUGCCGAAAAUACUGCAUGGCUAGGGAGUGGGAGAGGUAGACGGUACUCAGUAGGAAGGGGUAAAAUCCUUUGAUCUAUUGAUGACCACCUGUGGCGAAGGCGGUCUACCAGAACACGUUCGACGGUGAGGGAUGAAAGCUGGGGGAGCAAACCGGAUUAGAUACCCGGGUAGUCCCAGCUGUAAACGAUGCAGACUCGAUGAUGCAUUGGUAUAAUAGCCAGUGCAGUGUCGCAGGGAAGCCGUUAAGUCUGCCGCCUGGGAAGUACGUACGCAAGUAUGAAACUUAAAGGAAUUGGCGGGGGAGCACCACAAGGGGUGAAGCCUGCGGUUCAAUUGGAUUCAACGCCGGA